rfam:Termitomyces sp. J132 unplaced genomic scaffold scaffold166, whole genome shotgun sequence.
GCCCGCCUAGCUCAAUCGGAUAGAGCGUCAGACUCUUACCUAGGCAUCUGAAGGCUGCGAGUUCGACCCUCGCGGUGGGCU